rnacentral:rRNA from 1 species
AGAUUGAACGCUGGCGGAAUGCUUUACACAUGCAAGUCGAGCGGCAGCGCGGGGCAACCUGGCGGCGAGCGGCGAACGGGUGAGUAAUGCAUCGGAACGUGUCCAUGUCGUGGGGGAUAGCCCGGCGAAAGCCGGAUUAAUACCGCAUACGCCCGAGAGGGGAAAGUGGGGGACCGCAAGGCCUCACGCGAUUGGAUCGGCCGAUGUCCGAUUAGCUAGUUGGCGGGUAAAGCCCACCAAGGCGAUGAUCGGUAGCUGGUCUGAGAGGAUGAUCAGCCACACUGGGACUGAGACACGGCCCAGACUCCUACGGGAGGCAGCAGUGGGAAUUUUGGACAAUGGGGGCAACCCUGAUCCAGCCAUUCCGCGUGAGUGAAGAAGGCCUUCGGUUGUAAAGCUCUUUGUCCGGAACGAAACGGUAGCGUGAAUAUCGCUGCCUACUCGACGGUACCGGAAGAAUAAGCACCGGCUAACUACGUGCCAGCAGCCGCGGUAAUCUA